UAUGACUGGAUGUGUAAAGCGCUUUGGGGUCCUUAGGGACCAGUAAAGCGCUAUAUAAAUACAGCCCAUUUA
rnacentral:pre_miRNA from 1 species